rnacentral:lncRNA from 1 species
GUGCUUGUAGUUCCAGCUACUCAAGAGGCUGAGGUGGAAGGAUCACCUGAGUUCAGGAGUUGGAGGCUGCAUUGAGCCGUGAUUGUGCCACCGCACUCUACUCUGGGUGACAGAGCAGACCCCGUCCCCCCCCACCAAAAAAAAAAGAGUGCCUUAAAGAUCACCAAGGUGUCUUACAAACAUUAUUUUACAGUGAAAAAAGCAGGCAAUGGCCGGGCGCAGUGGCUCACACCUGUAAUCCUAGCACUUUGGGAGGCCAAGGCGGGCAGGUCACCUGAGGUCAGGAGUUCAAGACCAGCCUGG